UACAGAGGGUGCGAACGUUGCUCGGAAUUACUGGGCGUAAAGCGCGUGUAGGCGGGACGGUAAGUCAGAUGUGAAAUCCCCGAGCUCAACUCGGGAACUGCAUCUGAAACUGCCGACCUGGAGUGUCGGAGAGGGCGGCGGAAUUCCUGGUGUAGAGGUGAAAUUCGUAGAUAUCAGGAGGAACACCGGUGGCGAAGGCGGCCGCCUGGACGACUACUGACGCUGAGACGCGAAAGCGUGGGGAGCAAACAGG
rnacentral:rRNA from 1 species